rnacentral:rRNA from 1 species
UUGCACGCUGGCGGCAUGCCUUACCCAUGCCAGUCGCACGGCAGCACGGGUGCUUGCACCUGGUGGCGAGUGGCGAACGGGUGAGUAAUACAUCGGAACAUGUCCUGUAGUGGGGGAUAGCCCGGCGAAAGCCGGAUUAAUACCGCAUACGAUCUACGGAUGAAAGCGGGGGACCUUCGGGCCUCGCGCUAUAGGGUUGGCCGAUGGCUGAUUAGCUAGUUGGUGGGGUAAAGGCCUACCAAGGCGACGAUCAGCAGCUGGUCUGAGAGGACGACCAGCCACACUGGGACUGAGACACGGCCCAGACUCCUACGGGAGGCAGCAGUGGGGAAUUUUGGACAAUGGGCGAAAGCCUGAUCCAGCAAUGCCGCGUGUGUGAAGAAGGCCUUCGGGUUGUAAAGCACUUUUGUCCGGAAAGAAAUCCUUGGCCCUAAUACGGUCGGGGGAUGACGGUACCGGAAGAAUAAGCACCGGCUAACUACGUG